rnacentral:tRNA from 1 species
GGAGGGUGUAGCUCAGUGGUAGAGUGCAUGCCUAGCAUGUAUGAGGUCCUGGGUUCAAUCCCCAGUACCUCCA